rnacentral:misc_RNA from 1 species
UCUCCGUUGGUGAACCAGCGGAGGGAUCAUUACCGAGUUUACAACUCCCAAACCCAAUGUGAACCAUACCAAACUGUUGCCUCGGCGGGGUCACGCCCCGGGUGCGUCGCAGCCCCGGAACCAGGCGCCCGCCGGAGGGACCAACCAAACUCUUUCUGUAGUCCCCUCGCGGACGUUAUUUUUACAGCUCUGAGCAAAAAUUCAAAAUGAAUCAAACUUUCAACAACAGAUCUCUUGGUUCUG